GGGAUGGGUAUCCAAAGGUUCCAGAUCUGCUCUCUCCUUUCCUAGCCAGUCAGGAAGAAUUUCUUUAGGGGAGAAAAACCAUUUAGGGGAAGAUAAUCAACACAUGUCCUAAGGAAGCUACGUGCCUGUUUCCAAAGGACCAACACUCCUCACCUCUCCCCACCCUUUCUACUGCUCCCCCCCCAUCUCUCCCCCACCCCUCUCCACUGCUCCACCUCUCCCCACUGCUCUAGCAGCUGCUGUUCAGAAGCCAGGACAGAUGACCUUGACUUUGACCUGAAAACCACUCUCCCACCCCCUGCAGCCCAUUUCCUCAGGGCUGCCUGGGUUGAAAGAAAGGUUUAAGAAAUAUCUUCAAAAAGAGCUUGUUUUAUUGAUGAGCUUGGCUUGUUAGAAACCACCUCAGGAAGCUCUUGGCAAACUCAGAAGGGGAUGAGCGAAAGCCCGUGCCCACCCGCACUACAGAGAGCGACUGUGGAGAUAAUUGGAGAAGAUGGAUCUAUCUGCAAAGACACAAAAGGUGCUGACUGGUGAUCAUGCUUGCACUGGGGCCUUUGCACAGCCUAGAUGGCUAUCAGGGAGUCAGUAGGAUUAUUGCCAGCAGCAGUCCAGCUGCGCCCUUACGGAAGACAGCCUAGAACCCAAGUGCUUCCCACGGCAUUCCUAUGCACGUCACUGAGAAAACUCAAAUCCAUACAAAGUGAAUAAAUUGUAAAUGACAAUAAUAAUAGUAAUAAUAAACCCUGCUCUCUAUAAAAAAAGAGAGAGA